GUGUGGAGUUGGUAGAGCAUGAGACUCUUAAUCUCAAGGUCGUGGGUUCGAGCCCCAUGUUGGGCA